AUUGAACGCUGGCGGCAUGCUUUACACAUGCAAGUCGAACGGUAACAGGCCUUCGGGUGCUGACGAGUGGCGAACGGGUGAGUAAUGCAUCGGAACGUGCCCAGAGGUGGGGGAUAACGCAGCGAAAGCUGUGCUAAUACCGCAUGUGAUCUGAGGAUGAAAGCGGGGGACCAAGCAGCAAUGUUUGGCCUCGCGCCUCUGGAGCGGCCGAUGUCAGAUUAGGUAGUUGGUGGGGUAAAGGCCUACCAAGCCGACGAUCUGUAGCUGGUCUGAGAGGACGACCAGCCACACUGGGACUGAGACACGGCCCAGACUCCUACGGGAGGCAGCAGUGGGGAAUUUUGGACAAUGGGCGCAAGCCUGAUCCAGCAAUGCCGCGUGCGGGAAGAAGGCCUUCUGGUUGUAAACCGCUUUUGUACGGAACGAAAAGGCUCUGGCUAAUACCUGGGGCUGAUGACGGUACCGUAAGAAUAAGCACCGGCUAACUACGU
rnacentral:rRNA from 1 species